GUGGGGAAUAUUGGACAAUGGGCGCAAGCCUGAUCCAGCCAUACCGCGUGGGUGAAGAAGGCCUUCGGGUUGUAAAGCCCUUUUGUUGGGAAAGAAAAGCAGCCGGCUAAUACCCGGUUGUUCUGACGGUACCCAAAGAAUAAGCACCGGCUAACUUCGUGCCAGCAGCCGCGGUAAUACGAAGGGUGCAAGCGUUACUCGGAAUUACUGGGCGUAAAGCGUGCGUAGGUGGUUGGUUAAGUCUGUCGUGAAAGCCCUGGGCUCAACCUGGGAACUGCGAUGGAAACUGGCCGACUAGAAUGUGGUAGAGGGUAGCGGAAUUCCUGGUGUAGCAGUGAAAUGCGUAGAUAUCAGGAGGAACAUCCAUGGCGAAGGCAGCUACCUGGGCCAACAUUGACACUGAGGCACGAAAGCGUGGGGAGCAAACAGG
rnacentral:rRNA from 1 species